rnacentral:rRNA from 1 species
UACGGAGGGGAGCUAGCGUUGUUUCGGAAAUACUGGGCGUAAAGCGCGUGUAGGCGGCCAUCUAAGUCGGGCGUGAAAUCCCACGGCUCAACCGUGGAAGUGCACUCGAAACUGAUGGCUAGAGUCCUGGAGAGGAAGGUGGAAUGCUUGGUGUAGAGGUGAAAUUCGUAGAUAUCAAGCGGAACACCGGUGGCGAAGGCGGCCUU